AACGAACGCUGGCGGCGUGCUUAACACAUGCAAGUCGAACGCGAAAGGGACUUCGGUCCUGAGUAAAGUGGCGCACGGGUGAGUAACGCGUAGAUAACCUGUCUUCAUGUCUGGAAUAAUACGCCAAAGGGGUACUAAUACCGGAUAUUCUUGCUUUUCAUAAGUUAUGCAAGCAAAGGUGGCCUCUGCAUAUGCUACUGCAUGAAGAGGGGUCUGCGUACCAUUAGCUAGUAGGUGGGGUAAUGGCCUACCUAGGCGACGAUGGUUAGCGGGUCUGAGAGGAUGAUCCGCCACACUGGCACUGGAACACGGGCCAGACUCCUACGGGAGGCAGCAGUGAGGAAUAUUGCGCAAUGGGGGAAACCCUGACGCAGCGACGCCGCGUGAGUGAGGAAGGCCUUCGGGUCGUAAAGCUCUGUCAAGAGGAAAGAAGUGUACAAUGGCUAAUACCUGUUGUAUUUGACGGUACCUCUAAAGGAAGCACCGGCUAACUCCGUGCCAGCAGCAGC
rnacentral:rRNA from 1 species